GGGGCUCGACGACGGGCUUCGGCCUGGUUAUUCAUAACCCUUUGUUGUCCGACUCUGUUGCCUCCGGGGCGACCCUGCCUUCGGGCGGGGGCUCCGGGUGGACACUUCAAACUCUUGCGUAACUUUGCAGUCUGAGUAAACUUAAUUAAUAAAUUAAAACUUUUAACAACGGAUCUCUUGGUUCUGGCAUCGAUGAAGAACGCAGCGAAAUGCGAUAAGUAAUGUGAAUUGCAGAAUUCAGUGAAUCAUCGAAUCUUUGAACGCACAUUGCGCCCUUUGGUAUUCCAAAGGGCAUGCCUGUUCGAGCGUCAUUUGUACCCUCAAGCUUUGCUUGGUGUUGGGCGUCUUGUCUCCAGUUCGCUGGAGACUCGCCUUAAAGUCAUUGGCAGCCGGCCUACUGGUUUCGGAGCGCAGCACAAGUCGCGCUCUCAUCCAGCCAAGGCCAGCGUCCAGUAAGCCUUUUUUUCAACUUUUGACCUCGGAUCAGGUAGGGAUACCCGCUGAACUUAAGCAUAUCAAUAAGCGGAGGA
rnacentral:sRNA from 1 species